rnacentral:rRNA from 1 species
AUGAACGUUGGCGGCGUGGAUUAGGCAUGCAAGUCGAGCGAGAAUCGUAGCAAUACGAGGACAGCGGCGCAAGGGACAGUAAUGUGUAGAUUAUCUGCCCUCAGGUCCGGGAUAGCUGCGGGAAACUGCAGGUAAUACCGGAUAACAUCUCCGGAUCAAAGGUGUGAUUCCGCCUGAGGAUGAGUCUGCAUCCUAUUAGCUAGUUGGCAGGGUAACGGCCUACCAAGGCAUUGAUGGGUAGCGGGUGUGAGAGCACGACCCGCGUCAUUGGGACUGAGACACUGCCCAGACCCCUACGGGUGGCUGCAGUCGAGAAUCUUCGGCAAUGGGCGCAAGCCUGACCGAGCGACGCCGCGUGUGGGAUGAAGGCCUUCGGGUUGUAAACCACUGUCAGAGGGGAUGAAAUGCAGGUGGGUUCUCCCAUCUGUUGGACAUAGCCUCAGAGGAAGGACGGGCUAAUUUCGU